rnacentral:piRNA from 1 species
UGACCCUCGUAUUAGCUGCCUGGAAUUC